rnacentral:lncRNA from 1 species
GUCCAGGUUCUGUACAGUGAGUGGAAGUCACAGGUAAGGAACAGUGAGGAAAAUAACCUGUAGGUUUCACAGGUGAGUUGUGCCUUUAUUGUUAGCAUAAUAAUGGACUGGGAAGAAAUCCACCCUCCCCUUAGAAACAUGAUAACACAAGCUUUGACCUAUCAUAACAAGUUUUAGCAGCAUGUGUCUUGUUUGUUUUAGGAACACAACUUAGUCCAUUCCUCCUUAGCUUCCAGUUAAGAUAGUCUUAUCAUCAGACAUCAGUAUCUGAGUCAUCAGGACAAUACUGUAAGAAUUCUUCAGCAUUGUCAACUUGUUCCAGAGUCAGAUUGAAUGAUCUACCAAGAACCACUGCAUGUACCACUGUGGUAGAAGUUAAGGAGUCUUCAUAGGAUGCUGGAUGAAGGCUGGAUACUUCUAUAUCAGCAGAAUGCUUUGUUUUAUGGCCUCUUGAUGCUGGUAAGCUGGAUCAGCACAACACAGAUGUUUAUUACAGUUGUUGACGAGUCUCGUGCCUUCACGAUGGUGCUUGGUGGUAGAAAGUAAAACAGUAAGGGCAGGUCAAGCUCCAGCCUCUGCCUUUCUCAUUGCAUUCUGAAAUAUCUGCUACAAAGAAUCAGCUCCACUUUCCCAAAGAAGAGGAAGAAAAUACUCCUGUCUGAAUCUGUG